ensembl:snRNA U2 U2 spliceosomal RNA
AUCGCUUCUCAGCCUUUUGGCUAAGAUCAAGUGUAGUAUCUGUUCUUAUCAAUUUAAAAUAAGAUUUUCUUCUUUCUCUCUCUCUCCAUUUUUUAUUAAAAGCUGAGUCCAU